AGAACGAACGCUGGCGGCAUGCCUAAUACAUGCAAGUCGAACGAACACUUCGGUGUUAGUGGCGCACGGGUGCGUAACGCGUGGGAAUCUGCCCUUGGGUUCGGAAUAACAGUUGGAAACGACUGCUAAUACCGGAUGAUAUCGAAAGAUCAAAGAUUUAUCGCCCAGGGAUGAGCCCGCGUAGGAUUAGCUAGUUGGUGAGGUAAGGGCUCACCAAGGCGACGAUCCUUAGCUGGUCUGAGAGGAUGAUCAGCCACACUGGGACUGAGACACGGCCCAGACUCCUACGGGAGGCAGCAGUAGGGAAUAUGGACAAUGGGCGCAAGCCUGAUCCAGCAAUGCCGCGUGAGUGAUGAAGGCCUUAGGGUUGUAAACGCUCUUUACCCGAGAUGAUAAUGACAGUAUCGGAGAAUAAGCCCCGGACUAACUCCGUGCCAGCAGCCGU
rnacentral:rRNA from 1 species